CUACGGGAGGCUGCAGUGAGGAAUAUUGCACAAUGGGGGGAACCCUGAUGCAGCAACGCCGCGUGGAGGAUGACGCAUUUCGGUGUGUAAACUCCUUUUAUAUGUCAAGAAAAUGACGGUAGCAUAUGAAUAAGCACCGGCUAACUCCGUGCCAGCAGCCGCGGUAAUACGGAGGGUGCAAGCGUUGCUCGGAAUCACUGGGCGUAAAGGACGCGUAGGCGGGUUGGAAAGUCAGGUGUGAAAUCCUACAGCUUAACUGUAGAACUGCACUUGAAACUUCUAAUCUAGAGUAUGGGAGGGGGAGAUGGAAUUAGUGGUGUAGGGGUAAUAUCCGUAGAUAUCACUAGGAAUACCUAAAGCGAAGGCGAUCUCCUGGAACAUUACUGACGCUAAGGCGUGAAAGCGUGGGGAGCAAACAGGAUUAGAUACCCUCGUAGUC
rnacentral:rRNA from 1 species